GGUUAAGCGACUAAGCGUACACGGUGGAUGCCCUGGCAGUCAGAGGCGAUGAAGGGCGUGCUAAUCUGCGAUAAGCGCCGGUAAGGUGAUAUGAACCGUUAUAACCGGCGAUACCCGAAUGGGGAAACCCAGUGUGACUCGUCACACUAUCAUUAACUGAAUCCAUAGGUUAAUGAGGCGAACCGGGGGAACUGAAACAUCUAAGUACCCC
rnacentral:rRNA from 1 species